rnacentral:lncRNA from 1 species
CAGUAGAGUCACGCAAUGGUAAAAUUGGUUAGCGAUCACAGUCUGGCUGAGUAGGCCCAUGGCAUUAAUCACUUUUAAAGAUCUGGUCCCUAAGUACUUAAUUUCUAGGAAACAGCAGAAUGUGACAUUACAAGGAUCCUAUUUAGAGACACACACUCUGCAGAUCAAAGCAGGAACUACUGGAAAUGCUUUCUGAAGGUAUGUGUAACUAUAAAAUGUUUUGAGUGGCUGCCAGUAUUUUGUAAUCAGUGUUGUAAAGUUUUGUGAUACUCUUGAUGUCUGCAGAUGUUAUGUGGCCCGUGGCACAGAGCUGAUGUUCUAAAUUACCAAUUAUGAAACCUAAUGGAGCCCUGAGAACCAACUCCUGCCCUCCUUUGGGUACCGGGGCAGUCUUUAAAUGCCAGCAAAGGACUGAUGCUAUAAAUAAAACUCUGUCUCCAUAGUGACAGGCAGUUCAGUGCUCAGCUUUCAACACUUUAAGAAGGUGGAGGAGGCUUUUCCUCUGAUACUUGAGGCAACUGAUUUCCAUCUGCCAUUUUAAAGGCAUACCACGUAGGAUGGAGUUCCAGUCCUUUACUCACUUGCUAAUGGAAAAAAAUGGGACAGGUGGUUCUUCACUGAAGCACAGAAGAGCACAAUGCUACAUCCUUUAUCUAACAGCUGUUUCAUCAGAUUGCUGCAGUGGCUGCAGAAAUAAGACAGCCUUAUUUCUCUAUCUUCAGAUUCUUAUAGUUCAUGGGAGAAGAUUUACAGAUGGGUGAAAGGAAAUAAUCCAUAACAGGAGAGUGUCUUUACAUUGUAAUCUGGCUGAAAAAUCACAGAGGAGAAGUUUUCCCGUGCAAAGCACAGAGUAGACAUUAAGGGGGUAGUGCUGUCACAUUUUGCAUGUUUGUGCUGC